rnacentral:lncRNA from 1 species
UUCCUUUCCAUGUUUUUCUUGUCAAAAAAUGAGCUUUUGUUCACCAGAUGGCACUAUAUCUCCGGCAAUAUGUGUCUAAAUGGUUAGAUUUUUGAGUGAAUGAAUUACUAGUUUUUUUUUUUUUUAUUUUUUUUUUUUUUAUGAUUCCAAGUUUUGACUCUCAUACAAGACCUAUUGUGGUUUAUUUCCCCCCUCUCUU